UCCCACAAACCCUAACCCGAGAGCUCCACGCCACGAGAGGAGGGCGGCGGCCGCCCGCGCGCAUUCAGAUUCAGGCAGCGCGCCGUGUUGUUCGCCGGCGGCUGCGACGACGGGUUGCAGCGGGUCGAGGUUCGUCCGCCCUCUCUCUUACGCCCCGACGGCCCCCACGCCACGGACGGCGCCCUUCCCGGCGGACGCGCACCACCUGUUCGCCCGACGGCCGAACCAGCCCGCUCCGAUGCCCGGGCGCGCUCUGGACGGCAGCGCGCCGCCGCCCUCCGCCACCGCCGAAGUAAUAAGGCAUAGAGAAGAAAGUCCUCUGGUUGAAAUUGUCCAUAGCAUCAUCCAUCCUACCAUUCAACGGCGACGGCUGCUGCCCCACGGUGGGUAGGAUGGCCGGUGCUAUGGGUAGCUUCAACCCGAUUGUUCGUGCCACACCCCCGUCCGUCGUGAGUCAAGCAGGGAGCCAAUCCUCUGGUUGAAUUUGAACAUAGCAUCAGCAUCGGCCGUUCAACUGCGGGCGGUGGUAGUGGUUGCUGCCUUUCGGCGCUGGUGCUAUGGAUAGAUUCAACCGGAUGGUUGUGACAUACCCGAUUGAAAGAAGAAGCUUUGCUCCCGCGCACAUCCAGGCCGGUGGGAUUAGAGUGCCCUGGUGGCGGCCGAACCGGUCCAUCGUCGACUGCGGGGAGCCAAUCCUCUGGUUGAACUUGUCCAUAGCAUCAUCCAUCUUGCUGUUCUACCGAGGUAGCCGCUGCCCUUUUGCGCGAUGUGUACAAUGGCUGGUGCUAUGGGUAAAUUCGACCAGAUGGUUGGCAUCCCAAUUGAAAGAAGGAUCCUUGCUGAGUUUUUCUGCAUCAUACAACCUGCCAUCGACUCUGAUAGACUCCAUUUGCUUGCAGAAAGGUUAUAAUCUGCAUCCAUUGUCCCAGGUACCAAGAUCUGGACAGUGCAAAGGUGAUGAGGAGGGGAGGAGUCUAUUGGAUUGAAAGUAGUAGAAUUUCCCUGGUGUUUAAGGUGUCUGUACAAUGUCCUGUGACAUGGUUCAUGUGUUUUGGUUGUCUUUUGUGUUUUGUCUUUUGAGUUCUGCUAGAAUUUUUUGCAGCUAACCUGGGGUCUUCUGCGCAUCUUAGUUCUGUAAGUGUGCAAGCUUUAGAAGGUCAGAAAGCUCCACUAUGUAUGGGAUUUGUACGAUUCUGAACUGAAAAUUCUUUAGAAGGUCAGAAAGCUCCACUA